rnacentral:rRNA from 1 species
GUGUCAGCAGCCGCGGUAAUACGGAGGGUGCGAGCGUUGUCCGGAAUCACUGGGCGUAAAGGGCGCGUAGGCGGCGCGAGGAGUCGGGGGUGAAAGUCCGGGGCUCAACCCCGGAUCGGCCUUCGAUACUCUCGCGCUGGAGCACAGUAGAGGCGGGUGGAAUUCCGGGUGUAGCGGUGGAAUGCGUAGAGAUCCGGAAGAACACCGGUGGCGAAGGCGGCCCGCUGGGCUGUGGCUGACGCUGAGGCGCGACAGCGUGGGGAGCAAACAGGAUUAGAAACCCUCGUAGUCC